CCUCCCGCACCAACCGCAACCGCCCCCGCCCCCGCAAGGGGCUGCCAACCCCCCCCCGGCAGCCCCACCGCGCUCCCGUCACUGCAACGAGCACCAUCUCCCCACAGCACUGACACCUUUAUUGUUUCUGGAGCAAAAAAAACACACACACGCACGUACAAAUCUUUCCCCUGAUCGUUGCCACGGUGUUGAGAACAGUAACAGAGCUUCCCAAAGAGACGCCGGAGCUGCGGCCGCGCCCGGAUCCUGCGGGUUGCAGGGUCGGGAUUGCCCGGGAGCGGGGAAAGGCCCCGGGAGCGGGGAAAGGCCCCGGGAGCAGGGAAAAGGCCCCGGGAGCGGGGAAAAGGCCCCGGGAGCGGGGAAAAGGCCCCGGGAGCAGGGACAAGGCCCCGGGAGCGGGGAAAAGGCUCCGGGAGCAGCAGCAGCAGCCGCGUUCGCUUACAACACACAGCACAGGACAAAAGGGGUCUGCGAUACAGCAAAGCACAGCAAACAUUUCCUCGGAUUCAACAAACCAAGUCACUCUCGGCUGCCAAAUACUGCAGGGCCACGGUGCGGGUGCUGGAGAGCCUCUGCCCACCUCGAGCCGAUGGCUCCAGGAUCCACACCUUCAUUCCCAGGGGAUGCUCGAAAUAUCCUGGACAAGGUCUCUUUGUAGCCUGAAGUUUAGUUCUACUGUAACAAACUACGUUCUAAUUACUCAACCAAAGGAAAAAAAAAAAUAAAAUAGUGGGAUUUAUUGAAUUUUGGAUUCUGAGACUGACCUGCAGUAACCAUAAGAGUUAGAACUGUCAACAAACUUGACUUCUUUAAAGAUUAUGUAAAAUUAUCUGUAUUGUGAAACUACAGACCGUGCACCGUUUCUGGGUACACUUUGGAUUAGAAAAACCUGCAAGAGAAACAAUGAACUUCAGCUUAAAAAAAAACAGCCCUGAGAACAUGGCUCAACCAGCAAGAGCCCAGUUGAAAAACCACCAUUAUAAGCAAAAAUUAGAAGGAUCUACUGAAUUCUCAAAGUAUUAUUUGCCAACAUUUGAGGCAGGAAACACUGCAGUCUUUCCAAUUGUGUGAAGUAGUAACUCAAUGAACAGGAGCCAUAGAAAAAAACGCAUUUGGAGUGGAAAUACCUCACCACCUCCCUGUGUUCACAGGCUUUACCCUAAGCAAUUGCCAUCAGCUAUAAGAAGUUUAUGGUUUUGACACAAUUUAAGUGUUAAGACAGUAAUACAGAACAAAUACACCUGUAAGAUCUGUUUUAAAGUAAAGCUAUGAAAGGAGAACUUCCCUAAGCACUUGGUUAUGGAUAUUAAAAAUACACAUCUCUAUGGACUACUGAUCACAAAGUUUGUUGCAACGAUUCUGACAGGAAACUGAAGCGU